GCAAUGGUGGUUCAGUAGUAGAAAUCUUGUCUUCCAUGUGGGAGACCUGGGUUCAAUUCCUGGCCAAGGCA
rnacentral:tRNA from 1 species